CCUACGGGAGGCAGCAGUGAGGAAUAUUGGUCAAUGGACGCAAGUCUGAACCAGCCAUGCCGCGUGCAGGAAGACGGCUCUGUGAGUUGUAAAUUGCUUUUGUACGAGGGUAAACGCAGAUACGCGUAUCUGUCUGAGAGUAUCGUACGAAUAAGGAUCGGCUAACUCCGUGCCAGCAGCCGCGGUAAUACGGAGGAUUCGAGCGUUAUCCGGAUUUAUUGGGUUUAAAGGGUGCGCAGGCGGUCGGAUAAGUUAGAGGUGAAAUCCCGAGGCUCAACUUCGGAAUUGCCUCUGAUACUGGUCGUCUAGAGAGUAGUUGCGGUAGGCGGAAUGCAUGGUGUAGCGGUGAAAUGCUUAGAGAUCAUACAGAACACCGAUUGCGAAGGCAGCUUACCAAGCUACCUCUGACGUUGAGGCACGAAAGCGUGGGGAGCAAACAGGAUUAGAUACCCCAGUAGUC
rnacentral:rRNA from 1 species